GACGAACGCUGGCGGCGUGCCUAAUACAUGCAAGUCGAGCGAAGUUUUUCUGGUGCUUGCACCGGAAAAACUUAGCGGCGAACGGGUGAGUAACACGUAAAGAACCUGCCUCAUAGACUGGGACAACUAUUGGAAACGAUAGCUAAUACCGGAUAACAGCAUUAACUGCAUGGUUGAUGUUUAAAAGUUGGUUUUGCUAACACUAUGAGAUGGCUUUGCGGUGCAUUAGCUAGUUGGUGGGGUAAAGGCCUACCAAGGCGACGAUGCAUAGCCGACCUGAGGGGGGGAUCGGCACCACUGGACUUGGAAACCGCCCCAACCCCUACGGGAGGCAGCAGUAGGGAAUCUUCCGCAAUGGGCGAAAGCCUGACGGAGCAACGCCGCGUGAGUGAAGAAGGAUUUCGGUUCGUAAAGCUCUGUUGUUAGGGAAGAAUGAUUGUGUAGUAACUAUACACAGUAGAGACGGUACCUAACCAGAAAGCCACGGCUAACUACGUG
rnacentral:rRNA from 1 species